rnacentral:snRNA from 1 species
GUACUCGCCUCGGCGGUACAUAUACUAAAAUUGGAACGAUACAGAGAAGAUUAGCAUGGCCCCUGCACAAGGAUGACACGCAAAAUCGUGAAGCGUUAAGGGGCGCC